GAUGAACGCUAGCGGCAGGCUUAAUACAUGCAAGUCGAGGGACAGCACAGGUAGCAAUACUGGGUGGUAACCGGCAAACGGGUGCGGAACACGUACACAACCUUCCUUUAAGUGGGGGAUAGCCCAGAGAAAUUUGGAUUAAUACCCCGUAAUAUAGUUGAAUGGCAUCAUUUGAUUAUUAUAGCUACGGCGCUUAAUGAUGGGUGUGCGGCUGAUUAGAUAGUUGGCGGGGUAACGGCCCACCAAGUCUACGAUCAGUAGCUGAUGUGAGAGCAUGAUCAGCCACACGGGCACCGAGACACGGGCCCGACUCCUACGGGAGGCAGCAGUGGGGAAUUUUGGACAAUGGGCGAAAGCCUGAUCCAGCCAUGCCGCGUGUCUGAAGAAGGCCUUCGGGUUGUAAAGGACUUUUGUCGGGGAGGAAAUCCCCAGCGCUAAUACCGCUGGGGGAUGACAGUACCUGAAGAAUAAGCACCGGCUAACUACGUGCCAGCAGCCGCGGUAAUAC
rnacentral:rRNA from 1 species